AAGUCGUAACAAGGUUUCCGUAGGUGAACCUGCGGAAGGAUCAUUAACACUUUUAUCCACGUGUUCAAACAUCCGUUUGGACAUAAACCCCCUUAUAGCGAACUAGUCGGGUGGCUUUGGGCUCGCAAGAGUCUCAAGUCAUUCCGUCAUUUUUUUCUCUUUUUCUUUUAUUCACUUUUAAACCCAAUUGAACUUUCUAGACUGAAACUUUGUUGUAGGUGAAAGCUUACAUCGAAAAAAUAAAAUUCUAAACAACUCUUAACAACGGAUAUCUUGGUUCUC
rnacentral:misc_RNA from 1 species